rnacentral:lncRNA from 1 species
CGCUCAUCUCAGGCAAAUGUAGGAACCACUUUCAUUAACUUCUGUGGGUAUUUUUUCUAAUAAUAACAUUUGUGGCUGGAAUUUGAAGUCCUUGCCACAUACAUUCUCCAUCUUUCUACCUGAAUUCUCUCGUAUUCCCCCUGCAACCAUGCCAGUCACUUAUUAUAGGAAAACAUAAGGAAAUGGAUUCUCGGAGUUGGAGAUCGAAUAUUUGGGCAUUCUUGUAGUUGUAAACUUAUUUGUGAACAUGUUAAUAAACAUGUAUAGGUAAUUUAAUCUGUCAGUCCUGGAUUUUGGAUACAUGAAAUGUUCGUGAUGUGUCAUAUCCGAGUACGCUUUCAUGCCUUCUAAACCAUUCCAAAUAUCCCCUUUGCAGGAAGGUCUCUUGUCUUUUACUUGAUUUCCCACGUUCUAGUGACAGGAACGCUGUUGGAAAGUUACAGGUAUCUCAAAGGUACACUAGAGGUUUGUUUUUUUACGCAUUUUGUUCUCUAUUUUUCAACGAUAGAGAUACUCUAAUUUGUUUAGAUAUUAGUUAUUGUAUAAGAUUUGAUGUAGUUCCACCAAAGGCACAUGCCAUCAACUUCAACAAGAAAAAAAGGAAUUGAUUAAAUAAUAAAACAUUACAAGUCAGAUGUCUAAUAGACUAUAGUUCAGCAUAAGGGUCUAAGGCUGAUGGCUCAGCACUGCAUUUAAGAGAAAGAUUGCACAAACGACAGGAAUUUUAUUGCUUCGCAUCACAGACAUCUGAUAAUAUGACAGCAACAAAGAUAUAGAACAUAUAUGGAUUUUAAGUAAAAAAAACAAAAAGUUAUUUAUUUUGGAAGUAACUCUUAACUUCGUGACAAAAUAAGGUAAACUUUUUAAGCACAAAGCAUGCAAACAUCAUUUAUUUAAAACUUAUUAACUUACUAAUAAGUAAACUUUGUAAGCUUAGCCAAACAAACUCCUAGGAAGUAUGACAUGUCAAAAAAAAAUUAAUGCAAUAAGUUG